rnacentral:lncRNA from 10 species
CUGAGAUUACAGGCGUGAGUCACUGCACCUGGCCUUAUUCCUCUAUUUUUUAGGAUCAGGAAACUCGGACUCAGAGAAGCUAAGCACCCAGCCCAAUUCCAGAUCCUUAACUGACCUGUGCUGAGGCCUUGCCUAGUACUGCAGCAGUUGUCAUCUCCAUGGUCUGAACUACCUGACCGGCUGCGACUCCACCUACAAGGCCCUUCCCUGCAUUUCUACCUAUUGAAGUCCUACUGCUAUCCUAAACUCUAGCUAAGUGUCACCUCUUCCUAGAAGACCUGAUUGCAAAUGUUCCUGCCUCCCUGGAAAUCUCAUAAUACUUGCCAUUUCUCUUACGCAAAGAUCAUGUUUUCUCUUAUAUUAUCAUUUUUUCCCUUUUGUGCAUAUGUUUUAUUUUCCUUCUUGAAUCACAAACUCUUUCUGGGCAAGGAGCAUGUUGCCAAAGUCUUAUUCAAC